GUGCCAUCUUAUGCUUUCUCCUCCUUUUUCUCUCCUUCUUCUUUGCAGUAUUUUUUUCAUCUACAACUGGGCUCACGUCCUCCAUUUCUGCCUGGAGAUAAUCUGGUAUGUCCAGAGGGACCAGCACUCUUCCAGAGCCACACUCGGGCUUUUCCCUGCCCUGGCAUCCAGCGCUGUUUGCUGCUGCACUCAUUGCCUCCUCUUCCAGCUUACUCGUCCCAGGUUCACCACCAACCACACUGGAAGGUAGCAGCUCAGGGGCCUCCAUGCUGACCCUCACACUCCGUGCAGUGGCGACACUUUCCUGAUCCUCCGAGUCGCUGCUUGUUGAUGACUCCUCGACUUUACUCAGAGGAGAGGCUUUCU
rnacentral:lncRNA from 1 species